rnacentral:rRNA from 1 species
AUUGAACGCUGGCGGCAGGCCUAACACAUGCAAGUCGAACGAGUGGCGGACGGGUGAGUAAUGUAUGGGAAACUGCCCGAUGGAGGGGGAUAACUACUGGAAACGGUAGAUAAUACCGCAUACCAUCGGAUGAGCCCAGAUGGGAGUAGCUAGGAGGGGGGGUAACGGCUCACCUAGGCGACGAGCCCUAGCUGGUCUGAGAGGAUGACCAGCCACACUGGAACGGAGCCACGGUCCAGACUCCUACGUGAGGCAGCUGUGGGUAAUAUUGCACAAUGGGCGCAAGCCUGAUGCAGCCAUGCCGCGUGUAUGAAGAAGGCCUUCGGGUUGUAAAGUACUUUCAGCUAGGAGGCGUUACUCGCAGAAGAAGCACCGGCUAACUCCGUGCCAGCAGCCGCGGUAAUAC